rnacentral:rRNA from 1 species
GACAGCGGGGGCGAGCGUUGUCCGGAGUCACUGGGCGUAAAGCGCUUGUAGGCGGCUUCGUAAGUUGGGCGUGAAAGCUCCGGGCUUAACCCGGAGAGGCCGUCCAAUACUGCGGAGCUCGAGGGUGCCAGAGGAAGGUGGAAUUCCUGGUGUAGCGGUGAAAUGCGUAGAUAUCAGGAGGAACACCCGUGGCGAAGGCGGCUUUCUGGGGCAUUCCUGACGCUGAGAAGCGAAAGCUAGGGGAGCAAACAGG